rnacentral:pre_miRNA from 1 species
UAUAAGGGAUUUUGAGUUUUUGCUUGUACUGUUUGACCACUCGUCUUAUUCAAAAAAUUUUAGAAUUAUUAUUUAUUUUUUUGUGACUUUGUUUAUUAUCCAAAGUACUUUAAGCACAACUUUUCGUUUUUUAUAUUUGCAUAAAUUUUUUGAAUAAGACGAGAGGUUAAAAAGUGCAAGCAAAAACUCAAAAUCCCUUAUA